AGUCCAGAAUUCUCUCUCUGUCUCUCUCUGCGCUGCUUCAAUGGCUUUGCCGAGGAGAUUCACCGGGAAGGUGGGGACCGUGACGGCGUCCAGCCAGGGGAUCGGCUUUGGUCUUGCUCGAGGGGCUUGGAGGGGCCUGCGUCGUGGUUUCUUCCCGGGAACAGAAAAACGUGGAUGAAGCCGUGGCGGCACUGAUGUCUCAAGGAGUUGACGUGAUUGUGAUUGGCGCAGUUUGUGAUGUUUCGAACUAGAAACAGAGGAACAAUCUUAUUCAAGAAACUGUUCAGGUAAUCUUGUUAUAGUGAAUUUUUGAGCAACAUAGCUUACUUCCUCCAAGCAGUACUUACUAUGUUUCCUUUUAUAAGGCAGCUCAACCUUACUUGAGCAAAGGGGCGUCAGUUAUUCUUGUAUCUGCAAUUGGUGCCUAUCCUAAACCAUCAAUGUCCAUGUAUGGAGUUACAAAGACCGCACUUCUUGCAUGCACUUGUUUGGCGCAAAUUUUUGGGAAUUUGAAUUUUAUAUUUAAAAUUAUCUUGGCUAUGAGAGCUUAUAGUGAUAGCCUUGGAUUUCUUUUCCGUUACACAUAGCAGUGCUUCUAUUUGAUAAUCCAAGCACAAGCAUCCAAGUUUCCUUGCCACGAUGGUAUUUACCUAAGGUGUUUAUUCCUGGCAUUAGAGAACUCGAUAAGCUCUAGUGGGUUUCUUCACAGUGGUUAGUUGAGCAUUUCAUGAGUGCAGAAGUUGCAUUGGUGGUGGGGGAACAGCAGUUUCGUAGUAGUUUCUCAUUGACAUGUCUGAUGAACUGAUUAAAUGACAUAUUCAGUCGUAAGUGGAUGAUACCAGCUUGAUUAGUGAAUGCGUGGAAUCUAUGAAACCGAAGCAACACCAUAUACUGUGCACAAACAACUCAACAAUUGAGUUCCGUUUAACCUGUGGCCACUGAAUCACCCUGCUCGGUUCUUCAGCACUGUGGUUGUGGUGAUGGCUGCCCCCUUUUCUAUUGUUUGCCUUUAGUUAGGGCUUGUGUGCGCUCUGCCUAGGUAUGAGAAAUUACAAGGCCUCAUGGCAAACUGCUGUUAACCCUUGUGUCCGACCUCUCAUUAUUUUAGUCAUUUCAUGUUUCAAGCUUUUUUUCUAGCAUGGAACGACACCUUCUUUUGCCACUGCUUCCUAAAAUUGCCUCUUGUUUACUUCGUCACACUUCAUAACUACACUUACUGUGCUGAUAACUUCAUUUGUUUACAUUUAAUAUGGCAGCCAUGAUACUGUACCAUGUUUAAUUUCCACAAUAAGUUAACCUCCUUGUUCCUUAGGCAUAAAGCAUUUUUUUUUCAUUUUUUAAAUUUUUUUUCUAAUAUUAAAAUAGUGUUACUUUCGGGCGCUCUCGUCAGAAUGGGCUCCAUAUACGCGAAUUAAUUGUUUGGCACCUGGGUUUGUGCCUACGCGUCUUUCUAAUUUCAUUACCGUGAAUGAAGCACUUGUAAGUACCAUCUGAUGCCCAGACUUUGAUGAUCGUUUUCUUGUGUCUGUAUGAAUGUUU